rnacentral:rRNA from 1 species
AACGAACGCUGGCGGCAUGCCUAACACAUGCAAGUCGAACGAGACCUUCGGGUCUAGUGGCGCACGGGUGCGUAACGCGUGGGAACCUGCCCUUAGGUUCGGAAUAACUCCCCGAAAGGGGUGCUAAUACCGGAUAAUGUCUUCGGACCAAAGAUUUAUCGCCUUUGGAUGGGCCCGCGUUGGAUUAGCUAGUUGGUAGGGUAAAAGCCUACCAAGGCGACGAUCCAUAGCUGGUCUGAGAGGAUGAUCAGCCACACUGGGACUGAGACACGGCCCAGACUCCUACGGGAGGCAGCAGUGGGGGAUAUUGGACAAUGGGCGAAAGCCUGAUCCAGCAAUGCCGCGUGAGUGAUGAAGGCCUUAGGGUUGUAAAGCUCUUUUACCCGGGAUGAUAAUGACAGUACCGGGAGAAUAAGCUCCGGCUAACUCCGUG